CCCUUAGAUGUCCUGGGCCGCACGCGCGUUACACUGAUGCAUUCAACGAGCUUAUAACCUUGGCCGAGAGGCCUGGGCAAUCUUGUUAACGUGCAUCGUGAUAGGGAUAGAUUAUUGAAAUUAUUAAUCUUGAACGAGGAAUUCCUAGUAAACGCAGAUCAUCAAUCUGCAUUGAUUACGUCCUUGCCCUUUGUACACACCGCCCGUCGCACCUACCGAUUGGAUGGUCCGGUGAAGCCUCGGGAUUGUGGUUCUUGCCGCUUUAUUGUGGCGUGACCGCGAGAACUUGUCUAAACCUUAUCAUCUAGAGGAAGGUGAAGUCGUAACA
rnacentral:rRNA from 1 species